GUCGAGAAUCAUUCGCAAUGGGCGAAAGCCUGACGAUGCGACGCCGUGUGAGCGAUGAAGGCCUUAGGGUUGUAAAGCUCUUUCGCUUGGGAACAAGAGAGGUAGGCAAAUAACCUGCUGAUUUGAGGGUACCAGGUAAAGAAGCACCGGCUAACUCCGUGCCAGCAGCUGCGGUAAUACGGAGGGUGCAAGCAUUAAUCGGAUUUAUUGGGCGUAAAGGGCGCGUAGGCUGGAGAAUAAGUUGGAUGUGAAAUCCCGGGGCUCAACCCCGGACACGCAUCUGAAACUGUUUUUCUAGAGGAUAGAAGGAGGAAACGGAAUUCCACAAGUAGCGGUGAAAUGCGUAGAUAUGUGGAAGAACACCCGUGGCGAAGGCGGUUUCCUAUUUUAUACCUGACGCUGAGGCGCGAAAGCAAGGGGAUCAAACAGGAUUAGAUACCCCAGUAGUCC
rnacentral:rRNA from 1 species